rnacentral:rRNA from 1 species
UUAUUAUGAGUUUUAUCUUGGCUCAGAAUGAACGUUAGUUAUCUGCUUGAUACAUGCAAGUUGAACGAAUAAAGUGUUUACUUUAUUAGUAGCGAACGGGUGCGUAACGCGUGAGAAUCUGCCUUCCAAUCUGCGUAAAACGUGGAUAAAGCAUACAAUGCAUAAAAAUUAUAUUGUUGGAAGAUGAGCUUGCGUAAGAUUAGGUAGUUGGUGUAGGUAAAGGCUCACCAAGCCAAUGAUCUUUAGCCAGUUUGAGAGAACGAUUGGCCACAUUGAAACUGAGACACGGUUCAAACAUCAUUUGAUGGCAGCAGUAGGGAAUUUUGGACAAUGGGCGAAAGCUUGAUCCAGCAAGAUAACGUGAAAGAAGAAGGUUAUUUUGAUCGUAAAUUUCUUUAAUGAUGUUUUAGAUUAUGACAUGACAUCAUCAAAAAGUACUGGCAAAUCCUGUGCCAGCAGCCGCGGUAAUACAGGGAGUGCAGACGUUAUUCGGAAUUAUUGGGCGUAAAGAAAAAUAAGAUGGUAGCCAAUUAAGUAUCAGAUGAUCUUAAUGUAAACUUAUGAAGAAAAAUCAAAGCCCAACUUUGAUACACUUUAUAAGACUGGUUUACUUGAGUGAUGUAGAAGAGAAUGGAAUUUCUUAGCGAGAGGUAAUAUUUCAUGAACUAAGAAGGAAGGCCAAAAGCGAAGGCAAUUCUCUUGGCAUUUACUGACAUUGUAUUUUGAAGGUUUGGGGAGCAAAAAGAAUUAGAUACUCUUGUAGUCCAAACUGUCAACGAUGACUUUUAUUUGUUGCGUUUUUAAUUUUAUUUAAAAAUGCAGUGAAACAGCUAACGCGUUAAAAAGUCCGCCUGAGGAGUACGGUCGCAAGAUUAAAACUCAAAAGAAGAGACGGGAGACUAUACCAGUGGUGGAACAUGCGAUUUAAUUCGAAACAACACGCAAAACCUUACCAGUUCUUGACAUAUUAUUUAAAGCAAUUUGUUACAGAGUUGUCUUCUAUAGUAAUACAGGAGUUGCAUGGCUGUUGGAAGUUCGUGCUGUGAAGCGUUGAAUUAAUUUUCUUAACGAACGAAACUCUCACUCUUUGGUUACAAAAAAAAACAUUUGUUUUUUUACCCUUAGAGAACUCCCGCUAAUAAAGCGAUGGAAGAAGAGAAUCACUUCAAGUCCUCAUGACCCUUAUGAGCUGGGCUAUCCGCGUGUUACAAUGGUAAAUAUAAUAAGAAGCAAUGACGCGAGUCGGAGCAAAUCUUCAAAAUUUACCUCAGUUCAGAUUGUUUUCUGCAAUUCGAAAACAUGAAGUUGGAAUCACUAGUAAUCGUAGAUCAGCAAGCUACGGUGAAUCGAUACUUAGUCUUUGUACUCACCGCCCGUCACACUUUGGAAAUUGAGUGCGUUAGAAGCUUUUAAUUUCUUUUUUUAUGAAUAUCUUUUGAAAAGAAUAAAAAAUAAAAAUUGUUUUUAAAUUAAAAUCCAAAAUGUGCUUAGUAACUGAAGUGAAGUCGUAACAAGGUAACCGUAGAAGAAUCUGCGGUUGGAUUAAUUUU